rnacentral:lncRNA from 1 species
CAGAAGUUAGAGGCCAUCCUUGACAACAUAGUGAGUUCCAGAGAGUGAAGGAGUGAGCUCGCCAAGCACAACCAGCAGGGAUGAAAGGCUAACUCAGUGAACAACAGAAAGACAGACGGACUUCUGAACAGACACACCGACCAGCAGAAACCACUGGGGAAAGCAACAGUCAGCCAGUGCGACUGACUUAGAGUCCCAAACAGCUAUCUUCUUCUGGGGACAACAAAGAGAGGUGGCUCAGCAUGCAAGCAUGGGGAUUGGAGUCUCAAAACUUCGAGAAUCCACCUAAACCUGAGUGUGGUGGUGCAUGGCUCUAAUCCCUGUUUACAGGCGUGUCCCAGACAUCCAUAAGGGUAACUGAAAUUGGACUUCUUCAUACUCCACCUGGUUCUUGCUCAAGUGAUCAGAAGGGAGAAGGGGUAUGCCGGGAGCACUCACUGAUUCCCUGGAGGAGCACUCACUGUUUCCCUGAGGAACACUCAAUUUCCCUGGCCCUUUCGGGGCUCUAGAUGAGAAGUCUGUCUUGUGUGGUACACAGUGCACUCUGGCACAGCUCCCAUGAGACCAUAUAUUAUUUAUUUGCCUUUUAUAACUUCAGUUUUAUCAUCUGAAUAGGGCAAAAAUAACAUCUGAGAAACAAAACUCAGAAAACAAGCACAGUUACCAAAGAACUUUGGGAACUGUACCAAAGGUCAUCAUGGCCAUGUGUGAGGAUUCUAGCAGCUUUAUAAAUUUAAAAAAUGACCAAUGAGAUCCAUCUGCUGUGGAACACUAAAGUCCAUGGGAUUUUAAAGAGCUCAUAUAUAGAUGACAUUCUAAGAGUAGAAAGAUGAGUUAGAGAAAGGACUAAAGGAGUUGAAGAUGUUUGCAAUCCCAUAGGAAGAACAACAAUAUCAACCAACCAGACCCCCCAGAAUUCCCAGAGACUAAGCCAUCAACAAAGGUGUACACAUGGCUCCAGCUGCAUCUGUAGCAGAGGAUGUCCUUGUCAGGCAUCAAUUGGAGGAGUGGUCCUUGGCCUCACAAAGGCCCGAUAGAUGCCCCAGUGUAGGGGAAUCAAGGGCAGGGAGGUGGGAGUGAGUGGAUGGGUGAAGGAAUACCCUCACAGAAGCAGGGGGAGGGAGGAUGGGAUAGGGUGUUUCCAGGAGGGAGGGAAACCAGGAAAGGGGAUAACAUUUGAAAUGUAAAUAAAGGAAAUAUCCAAUUUUAAAAAGAAGAAGAAGAAGAAGAAAGAAGUAAGUAACUGUGUUCACCUGGAUAGUUUGAAUAAUCCAAAAUAAAAAACCAAAGGAAAUGGAUACAUUUAUAAAUAUCAAAGUUUCAAAGUAGCCCAUGGGAGAGAGUCAAAAGCCACCACACAUACCUUUUCCCCGAAUACAGCAAUUCAAAUCCUUCAUUGAUGUUAUUAAAAGGCAAGGUGUGGGUUAUCAACUGGUCCAGGUCAAACUUCUUUUCCAGGAACUCAGUCACCAGUUUAGGUACAUCAUCUCUGCUCUUCCACCCUGUGGGGGAGUUCAGGUUUGUUCUCUGUGCUCUGUUAAGUAACCCUCACCUUCCAUGGCAUUUGUGUCAUUUGUGUCAUUUCUCUUGUGCAUUAUGACCGUCCCUUUCCCACCCCUUGAGUAAUUCCCAGCAAAUAAAUGAGCUGUGUCUCUCCCAUCUUAAGAAAUAAA